UACGGAAGGCAGCAGUGGGGAAUAUUGCACAAUGGGCGAAAGCCUGAUGCAGCUAUGCCGCGUGUAUGAAGAAGGCUUUAGGGUUGUAAAGUACUUUCAUCGGGGAGGAAAAAACAAAACUAAUAAUUUUAUUUCUUGACGUUACCCGAAAAAGAAGCACCGGCUAACUCCGUGCCAGCAGCCGCGGUAAUACGGAGGGUGCUAGCGUUAAUCAGAAUUACUGGGCGUAAAGAGCACGUAGGUGGUUUUUUUAAGUCAGAUGUGAAAUCCCUGGGCUUAACCUAGGAACUGCAUUUUGAAACUGAAAUACUAGAGUAUCGUAGAGGGAGGUAGAAUUCUAGGUGUAGCGGUGAAAUGCGUAGAUAUCUGGAGGAAUACCUGUGGCGAAAGCGGCCUCCUAAACGAAUACUGACACUGAGGGUGCGAAAAGCGUGGGGAGCAAAACAGGGAUUAGAUACC
rnacentral:rRNA from 1 species